AGUUGCAAAAUGUUAUACAAUUCGAUCAAUCUACUAACAAACAACGAAACUUUUAGACGUAAUGUGAUAAUGCAUGAUAUAAUUUUUUUUUAACGUAAGUUGAAUCUAUUUGCACAGGGUGUAACAUCAAUAUUAAAAGAAUCUGCGUGGGAGAUAGAUAAUAAUAGUAAUGGUGUUUAUUAAGUCAUACCAAGAGAAAAUGUGCGUAUUUAAAGGUGAUCAUAUAAUAAUUAGUGUAAGGAAAGACGUUGUGUAUGCGAACAUUGGAUACAAGAAAAAUAAACAUGAAGGUCAACAAGAAAAAUUGGGAAAGUGCUAAAUUUGAAUGUCUCAUCAAGAUCAAACUCGAUAUGUUACCUGAAUUAUAUCUUUAAAUCAAUAAAUACUUUUGAAUGCGGCAAAUACAUCGCUUGCUUUAUUUGGUGAUGCAUUUUAUGCAUAUCCUCUCUACCUAAUAGUGUAGAGCUUCUAAAUAUUGUAAGGUAACAAUAAGUUUUUAAAAUUUUGAAAAAAAUGAACAUCGGCCAACCAUUAGUUCCAUUUUUUUUUAAUUAAGCGAUUAAAGAACAGAGAUUAGACUGGCAUAUUUUGAGAAUCAUUAGUUCAUUUGAACAAAUGAUUUUUUUGGCCCAUCUACCACAAUCAUUUUUUACCUACUUACAUAUUGUGUCACCCUGUUGCAAUGGUAUUUGGUGCAAUAAAGGGAAAAUCUUUGAUUUACAAAAUUUUGAAAUUCCGAAUUCAAACUGUGAUUUCUAUACAAAACUCAAAUGAAUUGUGAUUUCUCCUGGGCUAGGUUAAAUCUCGCCUGCAAAAGAACAACGCUAAUGUCCAUCUAAAUGUAUAUUAUAAGUAAUUUAAUUUCCAAAUAGUUUCCACAUGCACUUUCCCUUAAUCUAUGAAUUUAUGAAAAAUACGUAUACUUUUUCUUAAAAACCUAAUUGAAAUGACCAUCUCAUUCUGCAUUUUUUAAAUAACUUCAAUUUUCACAUUUAAAUUAUACAUUAGACACCAAAACAAAUGUUAAUUCACUUUUAAUAUAAAAGAAAAACUACCAAAAAUUAAUGAACCCUUGAAAUUGGCCGAUUGUACAUUGAAAUUACGGAAGAAAAUUUAAAUUCUGGAACCAAAACGAAUCUUGAAUGUACACAAAAUUUAAUAGCCUCUUCAGUUUACACAGUACGGCUUAUAUUCGAAAUUCCAAAUUGAUUUAAUUCUUUAAGACCAAUUAAUUAAAGCUUAACGUUAAAUGUUAUUCCUUUUUUUACAAAAAUAAAUGGAACUAACCUCGGACUACAGGGGCAUAUAACACAAGCCCUACAAGUCCUACAAUUGUUAGAAUAUAUUUGACACUUGUAGCUUUUUCAUAACACAACUCAUUUGCAUAUACCGAAUUAAGUAGGACUUGUGGUUAUAGUUACAGGCAGAUUACUCGUAAUUGGUUGACUUGUUACAAUUGUAUAGUUUGUGUUAUAGGCCCCUGGUCCUCUUGUUCAUGGAAAGGAUUGAGUUUCUUAAUUUUUAGAUAAUAAUAAUAAUAAUAUAUUUUAUUUCCCAUCUAACAGCAGAGCCUAAUUACAGAUGAGAAAGUGAAUAAAUGUAAAUAUAAAUAAUGUAAAUAAAUCUAGUAUACAAGUAUCACAGAAAACAGAUAGAGAUAUCGCGCACGUUGCAGUUGAAGAUAUCAACAUGUCGAUUAACCGAUUCAAGACAGGCACACAUACGCGAUAUCAGUGACGUACACAAGGAUUGUUUAUAAACAAACAGGUUGUUCCUCCUGAGAUGUUUUUGAGGCACAUGAAAACCAAUGCGCGCCAAAAGUGCAGGCGAGUCAAUUUUGUUAAUGAUCAAGUUGUAAAUAAACCUGGCUUGAUGAAAUUCCCUACGACGUUCAAGAGCUCCAAUAUCACCCUCGAGAAGCAGAGAGCCAUAAUCUACACCUCUCUCUGGGAAUGCACCGUGGCGUAAAUAUAGUGAUGUAAAUUGGCGACCAAACCACAGAAGCAUACUCAAGUUUAGUGCGUACGAGUGUAUUAUAUAGUGUCUUCAGAGCAUCUUCAGAUUUCAGCUCUCUUGAAUUCCUAAAAAUAAAGCCUAAGAGCUUUAACGCCUCAGAACAAAUGGUGGUAAUGUGGGUAUUAAAGUUCAGUUUAGAAUCAAACGUUAAGCCAAGGUCCUUAAUCAUCACACAACGUUUAAGCGAACAAUUAUUUAUAACAUAAUUAUGCAAUUGCGUAACCUGCUUACGAGAGAACGACAUCACACUACACUUAUCCACAUUAAGAUUUAAUUUGUUAGACAGCGACCAAUUGACGAGUAAGUUUAACUUAUACUGCAGAUCACGUGCAUCACUCAAAGUCUCAAUUUUAUUAAAUAUUUUUAUGUCAUCCGCAUAACCAAGGGCACAAUCACCAAGGGAUGAAAGUAUAUCAUUACAAAAUAUAAUAAACAAGAGUGGGCCGAGGUUUGACCCCUGUGGCACUCCCGAGGACACUUUGUAAUAAUCCGAUUUGAAGUUCUUAUAACAUACACAUUGACGACGAUCAGUAAGUUUUUCAGCUUAUUUAUGAGUAACCUAUGACAAACGUUGUCAAACGCCUUGGAGAAGUCGGUGUAAAUGACGUCCACUUGAGAUACAGAACCAAAAGCAUCCAUUAUGAACUCAGUGAAGCAAGUCAAGUUGGUUACAGUCAAGCGACCCUGAAGAAAUCCAUGCUGGUUGCUUGAGAAAUAAUCUUUACAUUGACCAAACAAGAUGUUAUAUACACAUGACUCGAGUACUUUAGCAAAGUUACUGAGUAUAGAGAUAGGUCUAUAGUUUUGAAUCACUGAUUUAUCACCCUUUUUAAAAAUUGGUAGCACCAAUACACCUUGAUGAUUAUAGUACAGAUGUUACAGAAGUUACAGAAUUUACAGAUGUUACAGGAGUUACGGGUGUUACAGGAGUUACAGAUGUUACAGAGGUUACAGAGUUACAGACGUUACAGAUGUUACAAGUGUUACAUAUGUUACAUAUGUUAAAGAUGUUACAGAUGUUACAGAUGUUACAGAUGUCAGAGAUGUCACAGACGUCACAGAUGUCACAGAUGUUACAGAUGUUUAUACGAAAUAGUAAGUAAAUUGGGAUAGUACUUCUGAGAGUAACUUGCACUAGCGUUUACAUAAUAAGCAAGUUGUAAAAAGCACUCUCAGAUUUCAGCGUGUUUGAAUGUGCGUAUACACAGUAGAGCUGUACAGAUUUUUGACUAGAUUUGCCAAUUCGGAGAUCCUUCAGAAGUGUUAAUUAAAGUAAACGUGUCUUCUUUUGACCCUACACGUUUUCCCUACAAAAAAUGGAAUCUCGUUUUGAUGUGUUGGGAUCCCGGCCUGCUUGGUCUGAAAAGAAUUUCAAGGUACAACUUUUCAGGUGCCUAUUUCCUUUUGGUUCCAUAUAGUGCUGUGUUCUGUUUAAAUACCAGAGGACGCCUUUUGUCUAUUAGGACGAAUUGCUGUCAUUAGAAUUUCCGUAAAAUUUUCCAGUUCAAGUUGCCGUCUAUUGAAGAAGUUCUUGUUAAGACUUUUUGGAACGAAAUUAUGUUCCUGUUUUAAGACGUUGUGCGAACAUUUUAAGUAAAUUUCUACGAAACACGGACGGCUAUUUCAAGUUUCCGUAAACAACGUUACCACAACCGUUUCGGGGAUAUGAAGUAGAAAAAUCAAGUUUUUGUGUCACGUGUUAUCAGGUGCAUUUACUUCCGUUAAUUUAAUUAGUGUUUGGUGUGAUCGGACUAUAUUUGGAUAUUUUAACUCAAAAACUGUAAUGAUUUUUUCUUAGUAGCUGUUAUAAUGUUGGUAGUUGAACACCCAUGUUGUUUUGAUUGUUCGGACAUUGUGGUCCAAUUGCAUUUUGAUAGGAGUGUAUGUUUCA